UGCUGAGGGGUCACACGCUCCCACGAACUCCAGCUGGGGCCGGUUGGAGGUGGAGCAGGCCCGGGACUGCCUGGCGUGUAAUAAUAAGGCCACAUGAUGUCCCAGGAUUCCGCAGUGGAUACGUCGGCGCCGCCCUGGCCGCCAUGGCUGCCCCACGGACCAAGCUCGAAGCCCGGAGGCGGCAUGGUAUCAUCAAGCUCUUCUUCUUCGCUGUUCGUUGUGGCGAGACGGCGCUCCUCGAGGCUUAGGUCGUCAUGGCCUACAAGCAGCUGGGCGUCGUCGUCGUCAUCAUCGUCCAUGGUGGAGAAAUCUUGCUGCGGAGGAUGAUUAUUGGCCAUGCACGGGUUAGUUCGCUUCUGGCAAGUCAAUCGAUUGCAAGUACGUGUGUUUGUUCGACAUCGAUCUGGUGCGUGCUUAAUAUAUCGCCGUCCGGCUAGGGUUGUUGGGCAGUAAACCAGAUCGAGAUCGGACUCGUUAAUUAACCGGGAAAGAUUGGGAAUCAGAAGGAUGACAAGGAAAAGGGGCGGCGUGAUCGGAUUAGCCGAGUCGGGCCCGGCCUCUAUGGGCCAUUUAGCUCAACAUGGUGCGCUAAUUGCAAGCACCAAGCAGGC
rnacentral:lncRNA from 1 species